CGUGCCUAAUACAUGCAAGUCGAGCGAACAGACGAGGAGCUUGCUCCUCUGACGUUAGCGGCGGACGGGUGAGUAACACGUGGAUAACCUACCUAUAAGACUGGGAUAACUUCGGGAAACCGGAGCUAAUACCGGAUAAUAUAUUGAACCGCAUGGUUCAAUAGUGAAAGACGGUUUUGCUGUCACUUAUAGAUGGAUCCGCGCCGCAUUAGCUAGUUGGUAAGGUAACGGCUUACCAAGGCAACGAUGCGUAGCCGACCUGAGAGGGUGAUCGGCCACACUGGAACUGAGACACGGUCCAGACUCCUACGGGAGGCAGCAGUAGGGAAUCUUCCGCAAUGGGCGAAAGCCUGACGGAGCAACGCCGCGUGAGUGAUGAAGGUCUUCGGAUCGUAAAACUCUGUUAUUAGGGAAGAACAAAUGUGUAAGUAACUAUGCACGUCUUGACGGUACCUAAUCAGAAAGCCACGGCUAACUACGUGCCAGCAGCCGCGGUAAUACGUAGGUGGCAAGCGUUAUCCGGAAUUAUUGGGCGUAAAGCGCGCGUAGGCGGUUUUUUAAGUCUGAUGUGAAAGCCCACGGCUCAACCGUGGAGGGUCAUUGGAAACUGGAAAACUUGAGUGCAGAAGAGGAAAGUGGAAUUCCAUGUGUAGCGGUGAAAUGCGCAGAGAUAUGGAGGAACACCAGUGGCGAAGGCGACUUUCUGGUCUGUAACUGACGCUGAUGUGCGAAA
rnacentral:rRNA from 1 species